rnacentral:rRNA from 1 species
CUCGAAAAGGAGAUAGUUAAAUUAAGGAAUAAGUUUUUGUAGAAUAAAAAUUUGUAAUCUUAUUUUAGGAGUGAAAUAUUAAUCGAGUUCCUUGAUAUCUAGUUUUUUAAGAAAUAUAUUUAAAUUGGCAUUUUCAUAAAAUUUAUGGAAGUAGUGAGAAUAGAAGGGAAUAGCUUUUUAUUAUUUAAGGUUAUAAAUGAAUAUAUUUGGGGGAUUUAACUAAGCUUAAAAUUAGCUAGGUUUAUAGUGUGUUUUAAUUAAAAUCUGAGUUAAUAGUAUUUAUAUAUUUUUUAAUUGUUUAUUAGAAAUUAUUUAAUAAUAGAGUAGGGUAGUUAUAAUGAAUAUAUUAGUAUAUUAUAGUGUGUAAUAUUAAUUUAAAUUAAUAUAAGGAGUUUAUAAGAGUUUCGAUUUUUUUUAGGAAUUCGGCAAAAUUUAUUUCUGCCUGUUUAACAAAAACAUGUCUUUAUGAAGGUUUAUAAAGUCUAACCUGCCCAUUGGAAUCUAAAAGGCCGCGGUAUUGUGACCGUGCAAAGGUAGCAUAAUCAUUAGUUUUUUAAUUGAAGGCUAGAAUGAAUGGUUGGACAAGAAAUAAUCUGUCUUAAUUGAAAAUAUUGAAUUUAACUUUUAAGUGAAAAGGCUUAAAUAAUUUGGAGGGACGAUAAGACCCUAUAAAACUUUAUAUUUGGGGAUAGUAGUUAAUUUUGUUUUAUUUUAUUAUUUAAAAGUAUUUGGUUGGGGCGACGAGAAUAUAAUAUAUAAUAACUGUUCUUAUUUAUAACAAUGCUAUUUGGUUUUAUGAUCCUGAUAAUGGAUUAAAGAUUAAGUUACUUUAGGGAUAACAGCGUAAUUUUUUUUAAGAGUUCUUAUCGACAAAAAAGUUUGCGACCUCGAUGUUGAAUUAAAAGUUCUUUAUAAAGUAGAGAUUAUAAGAGAGGGUCUGUUCGACCUUUAAAAUUUUACAUGAUUUGAGUUCAGACCGGUGUGAGCCAGGUUGGUUUCUAUCUUCCAGGGUAAGGUAAAAUUAUUUUAGUACGAAAGGAUUAAAUAA